GUGAUUGAAGGGUUCAUACUUUGCUGCAAAUAAUGCUGCACAAUUUGAACGGCACGAACGUCAGUUGACGUUUCGGAUUGGCGCUUUCAUUGCAAGUUUUAAGUUUGUUAGCAGCAUUCUUUUUCUUUUGCAUCUUUGACACGUGAAUAUGGUACUGGCUUUGAGGCCACGAUGGGAGCUGUGCAAUACCGUCACCGACUUGAUAUGCGGUGAUCGAUCACCAGUCAUGUCGCGAUGUUAAACAGUUGCGAUACUAUUAUUAAUCAGUAUAUGGCACUGUAUUAAAACAUGAUCACGUAAAUAACACUCGCGGGCUGCAACUACUGACGAAAAAUACGCGAAACCGCAAAAAUUUCGCAUGAACGUCGCCUCUACACCGUUCGUUGACCUUGUAAAUCGGGAGACAAAAACGGCUGAUGACCCCACAUUGAGCUCAUGGAAGUGUGUCCGCUCCACUCUUAGGCAUUAGGCAAUGAAAAUAAAAACGACGGAAGGCAGCAAACAAGUGCGGUCGCCAAAGACCUGAGUCCUCUUAAGUGACGCCAGUAAAAAGCAGAAGUUAUGUUGUUUCAAUGGAAGCCACAAGAGAGUAAAACAAUAUCCUCAGCAGCUGCAUAUGCAACAUUUCAUGAAAAUUGAACCUAUAGAGUGGUUCAACAAUCUGUCGGGCUCUGCUAUGUUGAGUGCAAAAAAAAAAAAAAAAAUCACCUUUACACAUUAGCUAAAUGAAACUUGCAAUUUCAAGACAUUUAGUACUGUGUGACUUUUUUCAAUGUUCCUAUGUAAAAUCCUCUCUGCAAAUUAUGGUAAACUUUAACUUACUUUUUUUGUAUUUUGGCUGAAUGUGAAAAUUUUGUUUAAGAUAGAUAAUUUAACUUUCAUUCUAUUUUCACUGCAUGGUUUCUGUGCUGCACUAACCCACGGGACUGUCAAGACAGAUGUGUCACUUGCAGUGUUGUCAAAAGAGUAGUGUGAAGUCAUGUAGUGUGCAUAUUUUUUUUUUUUUUUUUUUUUGUUCUGAGCAUAUGAUUCAUUUCUUUUUCAGAGCAGCUGUCUUCACUUGGAGGUCACAUUUGAGAUUUUGUGCCAAUGGUAGAGAGAAGCCUGGUGCCCUUUCCCAGUAGGCUGCUAGGAACGACCCAAAGUGAGAUAAUAUGCUGUCACACUCUCUCAAAACAGUGGCGGACUGGCUGACAAAAGUGCAGCUUGAGCAUCAACUGUGACUCAAAGAAUAUUAGAAAUCAUUGAGUCAGCCGGACUUUGUGUAAGCAGCUGCAUCAUUCCCUGAGGUGGCACGAACAAGGAAGAUCUGUACUCGUGAUCUCAUCGAGCAACUUUCUGCAUGGGAGUCCUGGUUGUCAGUAGAAGAUUGCAGCCAAAUAUUCCAGGGUGAAAGUCGAGCCUUUCCGGCUACCAAGACAUGACUGUAGAGCUCAUAAGGAGUCCUUCAUGGUACUCCGGCCAAAGUUCAGUUGUAAUUCCAAUUGGUAACUUUUGAAAGCACCACAAAUUGGUUUUAUGUGCGUGUUGUGAGAAUGGUAUAGUUCUUAUCUCUAUGUGACAACAUAGACUGCACGGACAGUGGUGGCUGCCAUGCCUGCCAGAGGGCACAUCACAGCCACUCCUUCUCCCUCUCCCAUUCACUCUCUUGAAUAAAUC